rnacentral:lncRNA from 1 species
AAGUACCCUUCCAAGAGAUUGGAGAUGAACUCCCCCAAGGUAUAAUAUAGACCUCUUCAAGUCUCCUCUGUGUCAGUGCACACGCUCACCCAGAUAUAAAUUAGCAUCAUGGAUGCAGAGUGUCACAUUAGCACCAGGUUUCCCAUUCAGCUGAUGUAUCACUUGAGCAUACUUCCUUUGUACUUUCCCCUUCGCCUUCAAAGGCUGUUCUCAGGUCUUAUUUUCCUUCCCAGAAAUGUGAGAUUGGUUUUAUGCUGUUGCUGUUAGAGUCAUCCCCCACUUAGGGUCUAAUCCGCUGGGGCUUUGUGCCUGUUUGUCAGGAACUUCGAGCAUAUAUUAAGACAUUUUACAGGGAGGAAGCUCUAUUUUGACAAUGAUUAUGCCUAUUAUCUCUUUUAAUAUAUGUAAAUUGUUGUGGAGAAACAAACCAUUUUAUGCCACUUGAAUCCUUUUCAGGGAAAUCUGAAUCCUUUUUGUGUAGCUUAGAUGUAUUACUAUCAUUUUCCCUUCACGGAGUUGAAUAAACACACUUAAAUCAGACCUUUGUUAGUGUACCCUCUUGUACUGUUGCCCUAAUAAAUUGUUGUGAAUUUAGUCUUUGAAAUCCAUAUUUGGUGACAUUUGCAAAUUCCUCUGUAGUCACUUCCAGAAUUGAAAUU